ACGCCCGGACCCAUCCCGAACCCGGAAGCUAAGCCUGCCAGCGCCAAUGAUACUGCCCAACCCGGGCGGAAAAGUAGGACACCGCCGAACA
rnacentral:rRNA from 1 species